rnacentral:rRNA from 1 species
CAAGUCGAGUGCGCAGUUUUCCGUAGCAAUACGGGAAACCGGCGCACGGCGCACGGGUGAGUAACACGUGGGCAACCUGCCCUACAGAGGGGGAUACCCCCGCGAAAGCGGGACUAAUACCGCAUGAUAUUCCGGUGGCUUCGGCCGCUGGACUCAAAGUCCGCAAGGACGCUGUUGGAGGGGCCCGCGCCCGAUUAGCUAGUUGGUGAGGUAACGGCUCACCAAGGCUAUGAUCGGUAGCCGAUCUGAGAGGAUGAUCGGUCACACUGGAACUGAGACACGGUCCAGACUCCUACGGGAGGCAGCAGUGGGGAAUAUUGCGCAAUGGGCGAAAGCCUGACGCAGCGACGCCGCGUGGGGGAUGAAGCUUCUCGGAGUGUAAACCCCUUUCGACCCGGACGAAACUCCCGCAAGGGAUUGACGGUACGGGUAUAAGAAGCCCCGGCUAACUACGUGCCAGCAGCCGCGGUAAGACGUAGGGGGCCAGCGUUGCUCGGAAUUACUGGGCGUAAAGGGUUCGUAGGCGGUGCGGCAAGUCGGUAGUGAAAUCUCCAGGCUUAACUUGGAGGCUGCUGCCGAAACUGCUGUGCUAGAGUGCAGGAGAGGCGAGUGGAAUUACAGGUGUAGCGGUGAAAUGCGUAGAUAUCUGUAGGAACACCCGUGGCGAAGGCGGCUCGCUGGACUGCAACUGACGCUGAGGAACGAAAGCUAGGGGAGCAAACAGGAUUAGAUACCCUGGUAGUCCUAGCCCUAAACGAUCAGGACUUGGGGUGCAUCCCGUUGGGGGUGCGUCCCGUAGCUAACGCGUUAAGUCCUGCGCCUGGGGAGUACGGUCGCAAGG